rnacentral:rRNA from 1 species
ACUCUGACGCAGUGACGCCGCGUAUAGGAAGAAGGUUUUCGGAUUGUAAACUAUUGUCGUUAGGGAAGAUAAAAGACAGUACCUAAGGAGGAAGCUCCGGCUAACUACGUGCCAGCAGCCGCGGUAAUACGUAGGGAGCGAGCGUUAUCCGGAUUUAUUGGGUGUAAAGGGUGCGUAGACGGGAAAUUAAGUUAGUUGUGAAAGCCCUCGGCUUAACUGAGGAAUUGCAACUAAAACUGGUUUUCUUGAGUGCAGGAGAGGUAAGUGGAAUUCCUAGUGUAGCGGUGAAAUGCGUAGAUAUUAGGAGGAACACCAGUGGCGAAGGCGACUUACUGGACUGUAACUGACGUUGAGGCACGAAAGUGUGGGGAGCAAACAGGAUUAGAUACCCUGGUAGUCCACACCGUAAACGAUGGAUACUAGGUGUAGGAGAUAUUAAGUCUUCUGUGCCGUCGCAAACGCAGUAAGUAUCCCACCUGGGGAGUACGGCCGCAAGGUUGAAACUCAAAGGAAUUGACGGGGGCCCGCACAAGCAGUGGAGUAUGUGGUUUAAUUCGAAGCAACGCGAAGAACCUUACCAGGGCUUGACAUAUACAGGAAUACUUAAGAGAUUAAGUAGCUCUUCGGAGUCUGUAUACAGGUGGUGCAUGGUUGUCGUCAGCUCGUGCCGUGAGGUGUUGGGUUAAGUCCCGCAACGAGCGCAACCCCUAUCUUCAGUUGCCAGCAGGUAAGGCUGGGCACUCUGGAGAGACCGCCCCGGUCAACGGGGAGGAAGGUGGGGACGACGUCAAGUCAUCAUGGCCCUUACGCCUGGGGCUACACACGUACUACAAUGGCGCGCACAAAGGGUAGCGAGACCGCGAGGUGGAGCCAAUCCCAAAAAACGCGUCUCAGUCCGGAUUGGAGUCUGCAACUCGACUCCAUGAAGUCGGAAUCGCUAGUAAUUCGAGAUCAGCAUGCUCGGGUGAAUGCGUUCCCGGGCCUUGUACACACCGCCCGUCACACCACGAAAGUCGGUUUUACCCGAAGCCGGUGAGCUAACUCGCAAGAGGAGCAGCCGUCUACGGUAGGGCCGAUGAUUGGGGUGAAGUCGUAACAAGGUAGCCGUAGGGGAACCUGCGGCUG